rnacentral:rRNA from 1 species
GUUGUUCGGAAUUACUGGGCGUAAAGGGCUCGUAGGCGGCCAACUAAGUCAGACGUGAAAUCCCUCGGCUUAACCGGGGAACUGCGUCUGAUACUGGAUGGCUAGAGUUUGGGAGAGGGAUGCGGAAUUCCAGGUGUAGCGGUGAAAUGCGUAGAUAUCUGGAGGAACACCGGUGGCGAAGGCGGCAUCCUGGACCAACACUGACGCUGAGGAGCGAAAGCCAGGGGAGCAAACGGG